rnacentral:rRNA from 1 species
UUGGACCGGAAAACAGGCAAGGGUAC